AUUAUUUUUUAUCGGGCACCAUAGAUGGCGUUACUAGGCACGUUUCAAUAAUAGAUUAACUCGCAUUUGUAUUUGAACGAACUGACAGCAAAAAAUAAAAAUAAAUGUGGGGUAGAAGAAGUUUCGCUGGUGGAAAGAAAGGAAGGAUUGAGGUGACACGGAGGACUUGAGUAGUGUCCGUUAUUAUUAAGUUUUUUUUUAAGUGAGAUUGCGAGAGAGUGUCGCGAAGUAAUAAUCACGUGUGAGAUAUUGAGACAUAGUACGGAGUGUGUGUAAAUACUGUUUCGGCCACGGGCCUGCGGAAACGCCCUUGAUAAAUCGACGAUACCGAAAUCGUGCUUACGGACGUCUGUGCCAGUCGUGGAAUUCCGGUGAGGAGUCAAGGGACUGGAAGGUCGCAGAACUACCUCUAGCCAGUGCCCAAAUUUCCUGACUUCGUGUGGCAUCGUCGCCAGAGAGUAGUGGGCCAAGUAAUUGCGAGCAAGUAGCGGCGGACUGAGAUUUGAGCCAGUCCCUGACAUUACCGGCGAGCUGGACUUAGGCCCUUCAUUGUGGGGUCAUUGUUUUGUCAUGAGUGCUCAUGCCAGCUUUUUUGUCGCAUGACUAGAUUAAGUGAUUCCACUUGUUAAUAGAUUAAGUUACCUUGAUUAAAAUAUGUUUAGCAAA
rnacentral:lncRNA from 1 species